GUUAUAUGGUCAAGUGAAGAAGCGCAUACGGUGGAUGCUUGGCAGUCAGAGGCGAUGAAA
rnacentral:rRNA from 1 species